UACGGAGGGUGCGAGCGUUAUUCGGAAUUACUGGGCGUAAAGCGCGUGUAGGCGGGAGUGCAAGUCUGAUGUGAAAGCCCCGGGCUUAACCUGGGAAGUGCAUUGGAAACUGCAUUUCUUGAGUGCUGGCGAGGAAGGGGGAAUUCCCGGUGUAGAGGUGAAAGUCGUAGAGAUCGGGAGGAAUACCAGUGGCGAAGGCGCCCUUCUGGACGGCAACUGACGCUGAGACGCGAAAGCGUGGGGCGCACACAGG
rnacentral:rRNA from 1 species